rnacentral:rRNA from 1 species
GACGAACGCUGGCGGCGUGCUUAACACAUGCAAGUCGAACGGAAAGGCCCUGCUUUUGUGGGGUGCUCGAGUGGCGAACGGGUGAGUAACACGUGAGUAACCUGCCCUUGUCUUUGGGAUAACUUCAGGAAACUGGGGCUAAUACCGGAUAGGAGCUCCUGCUGCAUGGUGGGGGUUGGAAAGUUUCGGCGGUUGGGGAUGGACUCGCGGCUUAUCAGCUUGUUGGUGGGGUAGUGGCUUACCAAGGCUUUGACGGGUAGCCGGCCUGAGAGGGUGACCGGCCACAUUGGGACUGAGGUACGGCCCAGACUCCUACGGGAGGCAGCAGUGGGGAAUAUUGCACAAUGGGCGGAAGCCUGAUGCAGCAACGCCGCGUGCGGGAUGACGGCCUUCGGGUUGUAAACCGCUUUCGCCUGUGACGAAGCGUGAGUGACGGUAAUGGGUAAAGAAGCACCGGCUAACUACGUG